rnacentral:rRNA from 1 species
GACGAACGCUGGCGGCGUGCUUAACACAUGCAAGUCGAACGGAAAGGCCCUGCUUUUGGGGUGUGCUCGAGUGGCGAACGGAUGGGUAACACGUGAGUAGCCUGCCCUUGACUUUGGGAGAACUUCAGGAAACUGGGGCUAAUAACGGAUAGGAGCUCCUGCGGCAUGGUGGGGGGUGGAAAUUUUCGGCGGUUGGGGAUGGACUCGCGGCUGAUCAGCUUGUUGGUGGGGUAGUGGCUUACCAAGGCUUUGACGGGUAGCCGGCCUGAGAGGGUGACCGGCCACCUUGGUACUGCGAUACGGCCCAGACUCCUACGGGAGGCAGCAGUGGGGAAUAUUGCACAAUGGGCGGAAGCCUGAUGCAGCAACGCCGCGUGCGGGAUGACGUCCUUCGGGUUGUAAACCGCUUUCGCCUGUGACGAAGCGUGAGUGACGGUAAUGGGUAAAGAAGCACCGGCUAACUACGUG